CCUACGGGAGGCAGCAGUAAGGAAUAUUGGUCAAUGGACGAAAGUCUGAACCAGCCAUGCCGCGUGAAGGAUUAAGGCCCUCUGGGUUGUAAACUUCUUUUAUCUGGGACGAAAAAAGGGUAUUCUUACUCACUUGACGGUACCAGAGGAAUAAGCACCGGCUAACUCCGUGCCAGCAGCCGCGGUAAUACGGAGGGUGCAAGCGUUAUCCGGAUUUACUGGGUUUAAAGGGUGCGUAGGUGGGCUUGUAAGUCAGUGGUGAAAUCUCCGGGCUUAACCCGGAAACUGCCAUUGAUACUAUAGGUCUUGAAUUAUCUGGAGGUAAGCGGAAUAUGUCAUGUAGCGGUGAGAUGCUUAGAUAUGACAUAGAACACCAAUUGCGAAGGCAGCUUACUACGGAUAUAUUGACACUGAGGCACGAAAGCGUGGGGAUCAAACAGGAUUAGAUACCCUGGUAGUCCACGCCCUAAACGAUGGAUACUCGACAUCAGCGAUACACUGUUGUGUCUGNGNGAGANAUAGUAUCCACCGNGGAGAGAGCGCGAGAGUUAGUUAACGUACGAAGAAGUAGAGGCGNGAGAGNGCGAGACGACGACGAGGGAGGAGG
rnacentral:rRNA from 1 species